rnacentral:rRNA from 1 species
UACGUAGGGUGCGAGCGUUGUCCGGAAUUAUUGGGCGUAAAGAGCUCGUAGGCGGUUUGUCGCGUCGGCCGUGAAAUCUCCACGCUUAACGUGGAGCGUGCGGUCGAUACGGGCAGACUUGAGUUCGGUAGGGGAGACUGGAAUUCCUGGUGUAGCGGUGAAAUGCGCAGAUAUCGGGAGGAACACCGGUGGCGAAGGCGGUUCUCUGGGCCUGUGCUGACGCUGAGGAGCGAAAGCGUGGGGAGCGAACAGG